rnacentral:rRNA from 1 species
ACGUAUGGAGCGAGCGUUGUCCGGAAUUAUUGGGCGUAAAGGGUGCGCAGGCGGCUUUACAAGUUGGAUGUGAAAUAUUGUGGCUCAACCACAAACGUGCAUCCAAAACUGCAAAGCUUGAGUUAAGGAGAGGUAAGUGGAAUUCCUGGUGUAGCGGUGGAAUGCGUAGAUAUCAGGAGGAAUACCGGUGGCGAAGGCGACUUACUGGACUUAAACUGACGCUCAGGCACGAAAGCGUGGGGAGCAAACAG